UCCUUUUUAGUCAUGUUUAUUCGCCUAUUUUUUAUAUUUGACCCAAAUGAAUUCUAUUCCCUCUCUUGCUUUAAAAUUUCAUUUCCCUCCUUAAAAUUUAUAUUCUCGCAUCCCUGCAAACCCUAAAUUAGUUCCCAACAUAAAAACUGAUCCGCAUUCCUUCUGUUCCCAGUUUUCCCACCCCUCAUCCUUCCAAAUCAUGAUCCCUUCAUCUUUCUCCCAAGAAGGCAGUGGCAAGAAUGAGGCAUGGGUACUGUUAUGCACAAAAACACUGAAAAGAUUCGUCUAUUUAUGCAUCAAUUAAAAUUCCCAAAGAUCUACGGCAAUCAUAUUGUGUGCUCCUGUUUGAUCUCUUUUUGCUAGACCAGUAUCUGUCAAUAUUAUUGCUAAAAAUAACUGGCUUAUUUCAUGGCUUGGACCUAUUCUUUGUGGUUAUGCCAUCUGAGGCACCUAUCAGUUUUCAAGCAUGCCCUUUCUAUAAUUCAGCUGGCCCAUUUGAAGCCCCUAGGGCGGACGAAACAUGGAAAGGGCAUCAGACGAACGACAAACAACAACGACGGGCAUCUCCAAAUCAUGAGCGGAUCAGGUCCAAAUCGUAAGCAACAACCCAAAUGAAGUUGAUCCGGAAUGGGAUUCAUCACAAACUACAAUUGGUUAUGUGGAUGGAAAUAGUGACCUAGCUCACAGUGUGCUUGAGAACUGAUUUAGAAUGCAUUGGUGCAUCCAUCGCAUGGCCCUAUCCAUUCAUCUCGGUAGUCCAUGAGGAUUGAGGACGCAUGAUGACUCAAGAUUUUAUGCU